rnacentral:RNase_P_RNA from 1 species
UGAGAUCCCUUGAUGGCCGCGUUUCCCUAGGGAAAUGAGGAACUUCCGGGCUCCAUAGAGCACGAUGGCGGAUAACGUCCGCCCAGGGCGACCUGAGAGAUAGCGCAACAGAGAACAGACCGCCUGCGCCUCGUGUGCGGGUAAGGGUGAAACGGCGGUGUAAGAGACCACCGGAAUGCUGGUGACGGCGUUCGCAUGGCAAGCCUCAUCGGGAGCAAAGCCAAGUAGAAGGCAGGGCUGCUCGCCCAUAUGCCUUCGGGUAGGCUGCUAGAGCUCAGCGGCAACGUUGAGUCGAGAUGGAUGGCCAUCCGCAUUGGCAACAAUGCGACAGAACCCGGGGUAUAAGGGAUCUCAACAU